UACAGAGGUCCCGAGCGUUGUUCGGAUUCACUGGGCGUAAAGGGUGCGUAGGUGGCUGGGAAAGUUUGAUGUGAAAGCUCAGGGCUUAACCCUGAAAUGGCAUUGAAUACUGCCUGGCUGGAGGUUUGGAGGGGGGACUGGAGUUCUUGGUGUAGCAGUGAAAUGCGUAGAUAUCAAGAGGAACACCAGUGGCGAAGGCGAGUCCCUGGACAACACCUGACACUGAGGCACGAAAGCCGGGGGAGCAAACAGG
rnacentral:rRNA from 1 species